ensembl:lncRNA novel transcript
AUGCUGUCCUCCAUGACGUGCAGCGCCUCAGCAGCGUCAUGGCCAUGGGUGCCGUGCGCCAGUGUGUGACCUCCACCCGUGUGUGCAGCUAUCCCGUGAGCAAGGUUCUUCUGCCAUGGCUUCAGCCAGUCCCUCCGUUCGGGGUCCCUGACUUCCCGCAACAGGACUUGUUCUGUGAUAAAGGCUCCAGGGGCCCAUUAACGAGCUGAAAUCAAUAUUGAGCUUUUACAACUUGGACGAGAGAUGUCUGCUGAAAGUGGAAUCAAAGCUUGACAGUAGAUCAUUAAAUGUUACAGAUAUUCCUAAACUGUUCCUAACCAUUUCAUCAGCUGAGUGAUCGUGACAACAGCAAUAGUCCCUGAUACGACGGUUGCACUUCCAGCCUGUCUCUCUUCUCAGACAUUCUAUUUGAUUGCGAAUUCCAAAUUGCCAUUUACUGGGCAGAAGCUGGCACAGCGACCCCAGGAGGUACCCAGCAGGGCACCAUCAUCUUACCCAACCUGGCCUCUGUGCUCUAUGACCCUGAGUGCUGGGAGACCCCUCGACAGUUCAACCCUGGCCACUUCUCGGACAAGGAUGGAAACUUUGUGGCCAAUGAGGCCUUCCUGCCAUUCUCUGCAGGGCAUCGUGUCUACCCAGCAGACCAGCUGGCUCAAAUGGAGCUCUUCCUGAUGUUUGCCACCCUCCUCA